AGCCGCCCUGCAGUGGAUACCCUGACGGCGUCAUCGUCGAUAGUGGAUAACCUAAAAUCGUCAAAAUCAGUCAAAUCGAGAUGAAAGAUGUUACCAUGCGGCGGAGGAGGAACGCCGACGGAAGGCGGUGGCUGGUUAUAAUAACUCAUUAUUUUCCUCUGUGUUUUCUCUUUGAUAUGUUUCCUUGAAAUCGAUCGGAUAUUUCUUGUUUUGAUUUUAUAAGACUAAUAAAUAAUAAAGAAAAAAGGCUGACAUUUUCAUA